rnacentral:lncRNA from 1 species
UUAAUUAAAUAUACCUUAUAAAGGAAUUUAACUAAUUUUUUGAGAUAAAAAACUUCCACUUCAUUUAUUUUACAUUUGAGAACACCUAUUAUAGUAAAUAAACUUUAAACCGCAUAGCCCCCUCUACCCAUCAUGCUACACCACUUCUAGUUAUCCUUUUUUGAAGGUUGCCUCUCCAACUGCUGGAUAAUAAUUUUGCAUUGGCUUGGCUGGUCGAUGUCGAUGUCGAUUCAGUUUUUGUUCGUCGGCUUUUGAGACGUAUCUCCAUCAAUCGCGACCUCUGAGUUCGUUUCGUAUAAUGUGCUUUAUCUUCCUCAGGGAUUAAAAGUCAGUUUCUGGGAUUUGAAAAAAACAUAAUAGGGCACAAUAAUGAGCGAAGCAGAAGCCAACAUUGGUACCCAACAGAUACCAGAGGCGAGUGAGAGCCUCUUCGGCACCCUAGACAUAGUUUUAUUAGCACUCAUCGUAGGAGGAAUUAGUUGGUAUCUCGUCAAUAAACAUAAGAAAACCAAAACGAUA